rnacentral:lncRNA from 1 species
AAAGUUCCUUCGGCUGCCGAACCUGGUUUCUGCCAAAGGGCAGAAACUUGGCUCCCUUUGCACAAAAUCUUCUCCCUUCCAUUCCAACAUGCAUAUAACUCACCAAAUCAUGCAAAUAUACAUACAUUGGCUCCUAGGGGUUUCAAACUACCUAAAACCCCAACUACAACACACAACAACAACACAAUCCAACAUACAUUGCUCAAAACAUAACAUUAACUCAAAAAUCUAACUAUGAGCUAAACAUGCAU